CAAUCAGUCCUGCCAACAGAAAGACGGAGAAAGAGGUGUGCAUACAUGGGGGAAAAAAAACAUGAAGUACUUAGUAUCAGUUCUGCACUUACUUGUUAGGAAAUAGUACCAAUAUUUCAAUGUUUUGCUUGACAGCUUUUUCUGCCAGUAGCAUUUUUUGUUUGUUGUUUUUAAUAACUGUACAAGGUCAUUGCAGCACAUGCUCUGACAAAAGACUGCAUAGUGCUUGGAUAGUGUUUCUUUGUACCUAUUGUAAUUUAUUAGUUCUCAAAGUGUUCUUUCACUGAUAUCUGUAUCUUUGGAAAGAAUGCGUUUUUAUUUUGGUUUGUGUUCUUACAUUUCUUAUGUCUUUCCCUUUACUUUGAAAAACAAACAAAAUAAAUAGAACCUAUAGCCAUAUUAGAUCAGGCAAUACCCAGAAGAGAUCAGAUUCUUGUUUGUACUUUACAAAAAAGAAAAUGUAUGCAUAAUAAUAUAUUUCGUGUUAUUUUUGGUAAAUUUCCUCUUACAGAAGAUAUUUUUAAGUAAAAUAUGUAUGAUCUUUUUAUGGUAAUUAAGAUAUGUUGGGCUUUCUUAAAACUCAAAUUCCAGUGGAAUUAAAUUAUGAAUGUAAAUGAGAAAAACCCAAGCCUAGUCAUGAAAGUGUAAGCAGUUUCAGAUUAUAAAUUAUGCUUAAAAAUGUGGUAUCUGACCAUUUUGUAUUUAUAUGUAAAUAUAAAUACAUGUUGCUGCAUCACUAAUGGCAUUAAAAAGGGGGUGACUUAAGUGUCGGAUGUCUGAAAACUCUGCCUCUGUGGGCGGGCGUUCACUAGGGUUGCAGCAGUGAUGCAGCCCUGAAGAAACGUACGGGUGAACGGGAGCAGUCCCUGUUCCUGCGCAGGAGCCAGAGCAGGGGAAGGACACUGAGUCCUCGUUGGCAUCCCACGGCUUCUGGAGCAUGUAAGCACUGGAUGGAAAUCCUGGCGUCUUGCAUGAAAUACCAGGAAAUGUGCCUUAUAUGAACACUUUGAGGGAGUAGAAGUUGCAGGCUGGCUUCCCUGCUGCAGAGGCACAAAACAGUAGCGAGCAUCCUGAUGGAGCAGAGUUUUCCCUCCCCGUAGACUUCUGUUAUAUUGUUAAUCUCCAACGUCUCGCCUCCUUUCUCCACGGAAGCACAGAAGCUUUUUAAUUCUUACCCGUCUAGACUAGGAGUGCCCCCAUUGAACAGAUCACUGUAGGAACACAAUUCUGAUAUAGUGCACACUGAUUUUUCAAGCCAGGAAAAUGAUCCUUCACUAGUGGGAAGACAUGAAUGUAACGGGGAUGGGAGGCAGAAAAGAGAAGAAAGAUUUUUUUCAUAGCUUUGAAACUGCCAGGGCUUAAACAGGGUAUGUCCAUGUUCUUUCCACUACCACCCCCAAGCAAACAGAAGGUAUGAACUGUCUUUUUUUU